rnacentral:rRNA from 1 species
GACGAACGUUGGCGGCGUGCUUAAUACAUGCAAGUCAACUGAAGCAGUGGUAGCAAUAUCGCUGUGGAGGUGGCGCACGGGUGAGUAACACGUAGGUAAUCUGCCUUCAGGUCCGGCAUAACUCCGGGAAACCGGGGCUAAUAGCAGAUGAUGCAGCGGCUCGACAUCGAGACAGUUGUAAAAGCAAUGCCCCCGAAAGAUGGGCCUGCGUCUGAUUAGCUAGUUGGCGGGGUAACGGCCCACCAAGGCAACGAUCAGUAGCUGGUCUGAGAGGAUGAUUAGCCACACUGGAACUGAGACACGGUCCAGACUCCUACGGGAGGCAGCAGUAAGGAAUAUUGCUCAAUGGGAGAAAUCCUGAAGCAGCAACGCCGCGUGAGGGACGAAGGGCUUUUGCUUGUAAACCUCUGUAGUGAGAGAAAAAAAUCCCAAUCUUUGGGACAUGAUGGUAUCUCAAAAGUAAGCCCCGGCUAACUACGUG